AAGGUGAAGAAACUUGGCCAAGGAACCAGUAUUCAAAUUCUGACCUAAUUAGCUCAGAGCAAGCUUUCUUGAGAGACUGUGUGUGCAGAUUAGAUUGAAGGAAGGCUCCUGAGGGCAGGGACACCAUCAUCUGCACCCUUAGGAGGGGAGGUGCUGUGACCACAGGCAGAAAUUGGAAGGGUGUGGCCACAAGCCCAGGAAUGCCGGUAACUACAGAUGUAGAAGAGUCAAGGAAGAGAUGUCCCUGGAGCCGCAGGGAGUGAGACCCUGCAGAUGCCUGGCUUUGCUUAGCCCAGUAUGGGAGAACAUACUAUGUGGAAGAUACUUCCAACUGAACACAGUGAAUCAUGUGACUUGGGGAACGUGUGUGACAGGAACUGCUUCUUCCUGGGACUCACAACUCAGCUGAAGUAGGAGGGACACUGAAGGGUGCAGAUGAAUCACCAAGGACCCAGUGCUUUGGCUCGCCUGUGUGACAACACUGAAGGCUGACAGCAGCAGCACUAUGUACGUCUUUACAGAGACAGCACACGGGUCACGGCUUGAGACCAGGAGCCAGCCAGAUGGCUCAGCAGCUAAGGGCACUUGCCUUGCAAGCUUGGUGACGUCAGUUUGAUCCCACAUAAUGGUGGAAGGAAAGAACCAAGUCUACAAUGAUAUCCUCUAACCUCCACCCGCACGCUAUGAACCCAGGACACCAACCCAGGGAUGGCACCACCCACCGUGAGCUGGGCCCUCCCCCACUGAUCACUAAUUGAGAAAAUGCCUUACAGCUGGACCUCACAGAGGCACUUCUCUCUGACGUCUCAGGCUUGUGUCCAGCUGACACACAAACCAGCCUGUAUGAAGGGUGCUGUUAUCUUCUCAUGUCAGGGAGUUCACUCUCAUUAUGCAAUCGUACAAUAUGGCUUCAUCUAACUGGGAUGCAAGGACAGAUGCCGCUUCCAUCUCCCGCACACCAGACGAAAUCAGUAAUGAAUGGUUCCUGUACUUCUAAGAAUAAAUGGCAACCCUGUUUUUU